UUGAAGAACUUUCUUUUUUAGGUUUAGUUUUUGGCUCAAAAUUAGAGUCUCUUAGCAUGAGAUUUUUCAAGAUUCAUGUAUUUAAAUGAUUCUUCAUAUGAAUGUCACGGGGGAAAUAAGUUUUUUCAGACUGCCAAGCUCCCAAUCGUUGAAGUUUCUCUUGAAAAGUAGAUUCCAUUGAUUGUCCUCUCUGUUCUGUAGAGUCAGGAUCACCUGAACUACUCAAUAAAAAAUUGAGGAUUUCUCUUUGUCUAAAGGCAAUCAGAUCAAUCGAGGGUUUCUCUUUGCACAACUUUCAGAUGAAUUCCAAAUUCUGAAGGGUUUCUACUUUAUCAGGGGAUUUGAACUUAAGGAUCUUCUUCCCUCUUCUCCUUUAUCUCCUGUUUCCAAAUGUCCGUCAGCUUCUGCAUGGUCUGAUCCUCAGAUAAGCACUUCAACACUUUGUCAAUUUUGCUUCAGCCAGAAUCGUCCUCGACAUCUCAUCUCGCUUCAUUGACUCUGUGAGAUGUGGAUAGUGUUUCAUUUGUUUGGGAUGAGAUAUUGCCCAGUAUCCUUGACAUAAUAGGCCUCAAAUGAGUUCGUAUGAAUCUGUUCUCUAGUGACAAAUGAAUCUGCCUUUUUCUUUACUGCUUGUGACCUCUGUGAGCUUCAUUUUUCUUUAAGUUUUGAUAGAAUGAAAUUUGACAUGAAAUUUUGCAUUUUAAUGUAAGUAAUCCUAAUUCUUUUCAAACUAGUAUUUGAAAUUUAUAUAUACCCUCGCAAUUUAUUAACUAAACAUAAUACAUCUUUCUAUUGAUAUUGAUCUUGAUCUUUGAUCAUGGCUGGUGGGAACUUUAUUGUUGCUGAUGAAGGGGGUUCCGAGUACCCAGGGAAGUUGACACGUUAUGUGGCACUUACUUGUAUUAUGGCUGUAAUGGGAGGGUUGAUCUUUGGUUAUGACAUUGGAAUUUCAGGGGGAGUUACUUCUAUGGAUCCUUUUCUCAAACUCUUCUUUCCUUCUCUUUAUCGCAAAGAGGCUCUCGACACCUCCACCAAUCAGUAGUGCAAGUUCAACAGCCAGGAAUGCACUGCCUUCAAGAUGGAUUAGCUUUGCAAGUGAUUCUUUGUUUCUUUUAGAUGUCUCGUCUUUAAAAUGUUGAAAUUUAUAAAGAGUUGUCUUCCGGUAGUCCAUUUAUGCCUAAAGAGUUGUAUCUCCAAUGUAACCUGGUAUGGUAUGCAGCAGGAGGGGUCUCUGCUGUUGCUGCUGCUAAUGUGUGUCAAAGAGUGAUGGGAAUGGAGACAAGUUAAACACUGUUGCUUCAGCCAUUUGAGCAGCACUGCUGCCUUCAGAUGCUUAGGGAUUUUUCAUUGAAGAUUUAUGUUGAGAGAGCUUCAGUUUAUGGUUGGUUCCAGUGAAAAUGAUCAAACUUCCUCUUCUAAAUCCUGAUUAGGGUUCUGAUAAGCAUCUAGCUGUAGUUUUUCAAAAGAUUUUUUUGCCCAAUUCAUAGUUGCUUUAACAUUUUGCUUGUGAAACUGAUUCCUCCUCUAGGAAAGGAGGUUGCUUGAAUGCCAACUUCUUGUUGAUAAAAGCGUGCAUUGAUGUGUUUGGCCUGCUACUUUAUUGUUAUGGAUUGGUUUGGCUUACUGUGAAUUUGAGCAUAUUAAAAACACAUGAUUUAUUUCA